rnacentral:lncRNA from 1 species
UUUGCUUUCGCAAUUGAAAAGGGAAAUUGCACAGUUCUUGGAAUAUGGAUGGUUAAGGUCAGAUUGCCCUAAGAGGUAUGAGCUUCACAAUUCAAGUGAGGGGUGUUGGUGAUGUCAAGAGAGGUCACAAAGGACCACAGUGAGGACCAGUAAGGCAUCUUCUAGGGUUCUCAUGUUGCCUCCGUUGGACGAUGGACACUGAGCUUUUAACUGCACUAUGAAGAGGCAUUGAGAACUGGUCAUACAAUCACAUCUCAUGGAGCAGAGGAGAAAGUUAAUUGGCUGUGCCAGUCUGUCAAGAAGAUGAAUGUUACAGCUCUUGCGGGAUUGAAGGGUAUUUCAAAGAGCACUAUGAACACUUCAGAUGGAAAAAGAUUCAAAGAUUCUGUGGAAGUAAUAUGAACAUUCACACUGGAGAGACACGAAUACAGAAGAAAGCAAAGCCCUGAGGCUGUAAUUUC